AUUGAACGCUGGCGGCAGGCCUAACACAUGCAAGUCGAGCGGAGCGGCGGACGGGCGCGUAAGACCUAGGAAUCUGCCUGGCUGUGGGGGAUAACGAUCGGAAAGGGACGGUAAUACCGCAUACUAUCAGAUGAGCCUAGCUAGGAUUAGCUAGUUGGUGAGGUAAUGGCUAACCAAGGCUACGAUCCGUAACUGGUCGGAGAGGAUGAUCAGUCACACUGGAACUGAGACACGGUCCAGACUCCUACGGGAGGCAGCAGUGGGGAAUAUUGGACAAUGGGCGAAAGCCUGAUCCAGCCAUGCCGCGUGUGUGAAGAAGGUCUUCGGAUUGUAAAGCACUUUAAGUUGGGAGGCGUUACCGACAGAAUAAGCACCGGCUAACUCUGUGCCAGCAGCCGCGGUAAUAC
rnacentral:rRNA from 1 species